rnacentral:rRNA from 1 species
CGACCGGCGCACGGGUGAGUAACACGUAUCCAACCUGCCGUCUACUCUUGGACAGCCUUCUGAAAGGAAGAUUAAUACAAGAUGGCAUCAUGAGUCCGCAUGUUCACAUGAUUAAAGGUAUUCCGGUAGACGAUGGGGAUGCGUUCCAUUAGAUAGUAGGCGGGGUAACGGCCCACCUAGUCUUCGAUGGAUAGGGGUUCUGAGAGGAAGGUCCCCCACAUUGGAACCGAGACACGGUCCAAACUCCUACGGGAGGCAGCAUG